GACAGAGGCCUCGAGCGUUAGGCGGAAUCACUGGGCUUAAAGCGUGUGUAGGCGGAUCGUUAAGUGUCUUGUGAAAUCCCACGGCUCAACCGUGGAACGGCUGGGCAUACUGGCGAUCUUGAGCAGCCUAGGGGCGACCGGAACAAACGGUGGAGCGGUGAAAUGCGUAGAUAUCGUUUGGAACGCCAAUGGUGAAAACAGGUUGCUGGGAGUGAUGCUGACCGGCUGAGACACGAAAGCCAGGGGAGCAAACGGG
rnacentral:rRNA from 1 species